GGCCUUAUAGUUGAACUCACAACAUUAAAUUGCAGAUUUAAAAGUGUAUAAUAUACUAAGGCUU
rnacentral:tRNA from 1 species